GGGUCGGUUCGGCCGGAUUUCACACAGGUGUUGCAUGGCUGUCGUCAGCUCGUGUCGUGAGAUGUUGGGUUAAGUCCCGCAACGAGCGCAACCCUCAUCCUUAGUUACCAUCAGAUAAUGCUGGGGACUUUAAGGAAACUGCUAGUGAUAAACUGGAGGAAGGUGGGGAUGAUGUCAAGUCAUCAUGGCCCUUAUGGAGUGGGCUACACACGUGCUACAAUGGUGGCUACAAUGGGCUGCAAAGUCGCGAGACUAAGCCAAUCCCUUAAAAGCCAUCUCAGUUCGGAUUGUACUCUGCAACUCGAGUACAUGAAGUUGGAAUCGCUAGUAAUCGUGGAUCAGCAUGCCACGGUGAAUACGUUCUCGGGUCUUGUACACACUGCCCGUCACGCCAUGG
rnacentral:rRNA from 3 species